UACGAAGGGGGCUAGCGUUGUUCGGAAUUACUGGGCGUAAAGGGCGCGCAGGCGGCUCUUCAAGUCAGAUGUGAAAGCCCCGGGCUCAACCUGGGAACUGCAUUUGAGACUGGAGAGCUUGAGUUCGGGAGAGGAGAGCGGAAUUCCCAGUGUAGAGGUGAAAUUCGUAGAUAUUGGGAAGAACACCGGUGGCGAAGGCGGCUCCUUGGUCCAUAACUGACAUUGAGGCACGAAAGCGUGGGGAGCAAACAGG
rnacentral:rRNA from 1 species